rnacentral:rRNA from 1 species
AUUGAACGCUGGCGGCAGGCCUAACACAUGCAAGUCGAACGGUAACAGGAAGAAGCUUGCUUCUUUGCUGACGAGUGGCGGACGGGUGAGUAAUGUCUGGGAAACUGCCUGAUGGAGGGGGAUAACUACUGGAAACGGUAGCUAAUACCGCAUAACGUCGCAAGACCAAGGAGGGGGACCUUCGGGCCUCUUGCCAUCGGAUGUGCCCAGAUGGGAUUAGCUAGUAGGUGGGGUAACGGCUCACCUAGGCGACGAUCCCUAGCUGGUCUGAGAGGAUGACCAGCCACACUGGAACUGAGACACGGUCCAGACUCCUACGGGAGGCAGCAGUGGGGAAUAUUGCACAAUGGGCGCAAGCCUGAUGCAGCCAUGCCGCGUGUAUGAAGAAGGCCUUCGGGUUGUAAAGUACUUUCAGCGGGGAGGAAGGGAGUAAAGUUAAUACCUUGGCUCAUUGACGUUACCCGCAGAAGAAGCACCGGCUAACUCCGUG